GGAGAAGCUUGCUUCUCUGAUGUUAGCGGCGGACGGGUGAGUAACACGUGGAUAACCUACCUAUAAGACUGGGAUAACUUCGGGAAACCGGAGCUAAUACCGGAUAAUAUUUUGAACCGCAUGGUUCAAAAGUGAAAGACGGUCUUGCUGUCACUUAUAGAUGGAUCCGCGCUGCAUUAGCUAGUUGGUAAGGUAACGGCUUACCAAGGCAACGAUGCAUAGCCGACCUGAGAGGGUGAUCGGCCACACUGGAACUGAGACACGGUCCAGACUCCUACGGGAGGCAGCAGUAGGGAAUCUUCCGCAAUGGGCGAAAGCCUGACGGAGCAACGCCGCGUGAGUGAUGAAGGUCUUCGGAUCGUAAAACUCUGUUAUUAGGGAAGAACAUAUGUGUAAGUAACUGUGCACAUCUUGACGGUACCUAAUCAGAAAGCCACGGCUAACUACGUGCCAGCAGCCGCGGUAAUACGUAGGUGGCAAGCGUUAUCCGGAAUUAUUGGGCGUAAAGCGCGCGUAGGCGGUUUUUUAAGUCUGAUGUGAAAGCCCACGGCUCAACCGUGGAGGGUCAUUGGAAACUGGAAAACUUGAGUGCAGAAGAGGAAAGUGGAAUUCCAUGUGUAGCGGUGAAAUGCGCAGAGAUAUGGAGGAACACCAGUGGCGAAGGCGACUUUCUGGUCUGUAACUGACGCUGAUGUGCGAAAGCGUGGGGAUCAMACAGGAUUAGAUACCYUGGUAGUCCACGCCGUAAACGAUGAGUGYUAAGUGUUAGGGGGUUUCCGCCCCUUAGUGCUGCAGCUAACGCAUUAAGCACUCCGCCUGGGGAGUACGACCGCAAGGUUGAAACUCAAAGGAAUUGACGGGGACCCGCACAAGCGGUGGAGCAUGUGGUUUAAUUCGAAGCAACGCGAAGAACCUUACCAAAUCUUGACAUCCUUUGACAACUCUAGAGAUAGAGCUUUCCCCUUCGGGGGACAAAGUGACAGGUGGUGCAUGGUUGUCGUCAGCUCGUGUCGUGAGAUGUUGGGUUAAGUCCCGCAACGAGCGCAACCCUUAAGCUUAGUUGCCAUCAUUAAGUUGGGCACUCUAAGUUGACUGCCGGUGACAAACCGGAGGAAGGUGGGGAUGACGUCAAAUCAUCAUGCCCCUUAUGAUUUGGGCUACACACGUGCUACAAUGGACAAUACAAAGGGCAGCGAAACCGCGAGGUCAAGCAAAUCCCAUAAAGUUGUUCUCAGUUCGGAUUGUAGUCUGCAACUCGACUACAUGAAGCUGGAAUCGCUAGUAAUCGUAGAUCAGCAUGCUACGGUGAAUACGUUCCCGGGUCUUGUACACACCGCCCGUCACACCACGAGAGUUUGUAACACCCGAAGCCGGCUCUU
rnacentral:rRNA from 1 species